CAAGUAUUUCUCUUUUUAGUCACUAGUUUGCACGUGACCCGACAAAGUUAAGUAAGACGCCUCUUACAUGUUGUUUUGUUUAGUAUUUAAGAAUGUGAAAUAACAUAAACAAAUGGACCUCAUAAUUAUCCUGAUUUGUUUGUUCAAUAUUUGUCAAGUUUAUGGUACUAAAUGCUACGUCUGUGACACCGAUCAAAAUCCAGGAGUGUGUGAUCGCGAAGGAAACUUAACAGUUGAAAAUGCACAGCACAUUGUUGACUGUAAUGGAAACUGUUAUGUGGGUUCACUCACAGUUGGAAAAAUGGAAGCACAUUUAAGAAAGUGUCUGCCUGGCAAAAUAACUGGAUGUGAAAAAAGAGAGCGUGGCUCCAUAUGUCAAUGUGGAACAGAUUUUUGCAACAAGGAUUUGAUAACAUGUUACAAACAAAACAUCGAUAUUCUCCGAUGCAAAAAAGCUCUUAAUCCAGUGCAGAUGACACAGACAUCGGAUCGGAACCAAAUGGCACCGACAACAUCGUUACAGUUUUUUGUUAUUGUUACAAGCGUCUUCAUGUUUUUUAUUUUUCAAAUAAGUUGACCAUUUAUGACUGAUGAAGUUUAAUUUAUCAUUUUUCAUGAACACAUUUUGAGAUAAUUUUUUAAUACAACUGACCAAUUUGGUGCCAAGUUUUGGAUUAUCUAUGAAAGACGUUUAGUAUUUGUUUUCAAAUAGUGAUUUAACCCCCUUCCUAAAAUAGGGAUAUAACUUUAAUAAUAUUAUUUUGAUUUAGGUUUAUUCUAAACAGGCCUAAGGCUGAUUUCUUUAUGAUUAUUUUUACAGCAUACAAGUGAUCAAUAUUUUUCAUUUUUAUAUAAAAGGAUAAUAAAAACAUCAUUUUGUCGUGUUUAAAACGAUCGUCUAGUAAUAAAAUUCCGAAUCUAGCAUUAGCUCAUUGUAAAAUAGGCGAUUGCAAAUCUGAAGCGUUGAAAAAAGUUUGGAAUUCAUGUUGUGAAUGGUUUCACGAGACAAAACCAAAUAAAACCUAAAUUACAACCAAUUGCUAUAUUGAAGGACUAUCGCUACAGAGUAAAACAACAACAAAAUGAAAUGCAAACUAUCCCCAAAAUUUGCGUUAUUUUUGAAUAGCGUAAACAUCAAUUUCUUUUAAAAACAUUAAAUUACUAUUAUUAUAAUUUCGUUUUUGAAACAAAUUCUUAAAAUUUCAACCUGUUUCCAGUAAUCAAUAUAUUUUUUUUUCGUUUUGUAAUGCAAUGCACGUUUACACAUUAAUCAACAGCAAUUAAGGCUAACAAAAAAUCAGGUUUUAUUGUAAUUUUGAUUUAAAAUUUCUCAAAAAGGAUAAACACCUCUUUUCCUAUUGGCCAUUAGCUUUUCUAACGACAAAUUAGCUAUACUUAGAUAACUAUUCUUAUCCAAGUAAUUCAACUACCUUUUAUGUUCUCACUUGUAUAAAUUGGAUACAAAUAUGCAAGUGACGGCAUUGGUCCAAGUCUAAAUAUCUCUUCGGUAUGCAGUUAUAAAACUGAAACUAAAUAGACUCAUCAGGAUUGUUUAAAACCGUUUUCAUUAUCUCUAAUUAAAAUAUAUAUUUAAAGGCAAAGACAAAUAUAGAUUAUUUUCUUUAGAGUUUACUCUUAUUAAAUAUUUCAUAACAUUUUUUGUAUUAUAUUUCAGAUUUUAUAAUUGCGUCGUUUAAUUUUUGGCCGAAACCAUUCUCAAUGAAUACAUAUUUAAUGUUAUAACGGAGUAUUAAUUGGUUUUUAUCUAUGAUUAUUUUUAGUUUAGUUUUUACACAUAUGAAAUCGAAUAUUUCACAGAUCUACUUUUAUUUCCAGCAUAAACAGGUUUAUUAUCUUUGACAAUUUACCAUUUUGGUAUGCUAUCUGAGAUAUAUCUUCAAGUUUUUGUUAUUAAUUGUUGUGUUUGUAAAACCAAAUAAAAGCAUUGUUUUGCGUU